rnacentral:rRNA from 1 species
CGGCAAAGCUCAAAUUUGAAAUCUGGCACUUUCAGUGUCCGAGUUGUAAUUUGAAGAAGGUAUCUUUGGGUCUGGCUCUUGUCUAUGUUUCUUGGAACAGAACGUCACAGAGGGUGAGAAUCCCGUGCGAUGAGAUGUCCCAGACCUAUGUAAAGUUCCUUCGAAGAGUCGAGUUGUUUGGGAAUGCAGCUCUAAGUGGGUGGUAAAUUCCAUCUAAAGCUAAAUAUUGGCGAGAGACCGAUAGCGAACAAGUACAGUGAUGGAAAGAUGAAAAGAACUUUGAAAAGAGAGUGAAAAAGUACGUGAAAUUGUUGAAAGGGAAGGGCUUGAGAUCAGACUUGGUAUUUUGUAUGUUACUCUCUCGGGGGUGGCCUCUACAGUUUACCGGGCCAGCAUCAGUUUGAGCGGUAGGAUAAGUGCAAAGAAAUGUGGCACUGCUUCGGUAGUGUGUUAUAGUCUUUGUCGAUACUGCCAGCUUAGACUGAGGACUGCG